GAGGUGGACUGUUAAAUUAAGCUGUGCUGUCAAUUUGAUUUACUUGUUUCAAGUAUUUUGCCCAGCAAUGAGAAAGCUAUCUAAUACAAUGUGUCAAGCAGAAAUGGAAAAAGCAGAAACUAUGAAAAUUCAGGUGUGAGGCACUAUUGCUCCAAAGCUACAAGCAUGGAGGCUGAGGGGUAAUAAUGAGGUGAAAAUCAGAACAAGUUUAGCCAUAGAAGGUUGAAGAAUAUUAAUAGGUGGCCCAAAGUCUUAUUUUUUUACAAAAAUGGGAAGUUAGCUGCAGAACCUCAGUACCCUCAAAUGUCAUUGGGAAGGGAUAGAAUAUAUCCUGCCCGCCGCACCCCCCCUUGCUGAAGUAUUAAUUUGCCCUUUCUCUGCUGUCUCAUAAGCAUUUAUAUCAACGUUCACAAGCUUUCAGCUCUGAUUUAGGAGGCAGUUCUUCAAAGACAGAGUAAAGAUCUUCAAUUUCUUCUUCAUCCCUGUCCAGCACUCUGCACAAGAGCUGGUGUUCAAUAAAUGUUUUUGGAACUCAGAUAUGAGGGAUGAGCAAAAUGCCUUGAAUGAAAUAUGUUGUUGUUGUUUUUUCUUUUUCCUGGAUCCCAGACAGAAAAUGCCCAUUUGCUGGUCAUCGAGCUGGGGACAAGCUCUGCAGGUGAUGUGGGCAUGUACUCCAGGACCGUACCGCCAAGGACUCUACAGCCUAGAAGGCGCUGCGGUCAGGGUUUCCCUCGCAGGGGCUGAACAUCGCACCUCCCACCUCUAUCCCCUACCAAGAGGCCAGCAACCGUUCAUGUCCUUGUAAUCUUUAUAUACUUAAGACCCAGGGAGAAGGGGGAAAAAGCACCAUUCGUGCUAAGGGAUAGUGAGCUUUCUUAGCUCCAACUGUUCACCUUCAACUAUUGACUUGGCAGCUGAAUCAAAUUCAAAUAAAGCUGCAGUGAUUUGGUACAAUAAAGUGUGCCCCAUAAUUUAAAGCACUCAAGAGGUGUGGAAAGUUUCCAGGGGCAGCUGACCUCAUUUAUGUUUCCACUUUGGCUCAGAGUGAGUUGAGUCACUCCUUACUGAGGGACGUACGGUUAAGGCCAGCCCGAAAGGUUUCAGUCAAGGAAUGUGCAGUCUUUCACGUUGCUCCUUCAUUCCCAUAGUUUGUAAAAUCCAAUCCUUCCUGUAAAACAAUGAAUCAACAUCUCAG
rnacentral:lncRNA from 1 species